AGAGUUUGAUUAUGGCUCAGGAUGAACGCUGGCGGCGUGCCUAACACAUCAAGUCGAACGGACCUUAAAGGGCUUGCUCUUAAGGUUAGUGGCGGACGGGUGAGUAACGCGUGAGCAACCUGCCUCUGACAGCGGGAUAACAUUGGGAAACCGGUGCUAAUACCGCAUGACACACCGAGUUUGCAUGGACACGGUGUCAAAGAAGCGAUUCGGUCAGAGAUGGGCUCGCGUCUGAUUAGUUAGUUGGCGGGGUAACGGCCCACCAAGACGACGAUCAGUAGCCGGACUGAGAGGUCGAACGGCCACAUUGGAACUGAGAAACGGCCAGACUCCUACGGGAGGCAGCAGUGGGGAAUAUUGGGCAAUGGGCGAAAGCCUGAACCCCCAGCGACGCCGCGUGGAGGAAGAAGGUCUUCGGAUUGUAAACUCCUGUCAACAGGGAAGAAGCAAGUGACGGUACCUGUAGAGGAAGCCACGGCUAACUACGUGCCAGCAGCCGC
rnacentral:rRNA from 1 species